GCUGCAUCGAACAGAGCAGUUGUUAUGGGGAGUAAACCUGCACAAUUACAGUUAUCUCUGUAGCCACUUGGUCAUCUAACCAUAUCUUAGAUUAAAGUGAAAGCAUCAGGCAUUUCUAUUUUAAAGUGACCACGAUUGUUGCUGGUGAACAUUGUUUACCCUAGAAACAAAAUUAUAGUCAACUUUCUCCUUGAAUGAAAAGUAAAGUUUAAACUCUGUAACUUCAUCUUCUUUUCGGAACAGCAG